UACGAAGGGGGCUAGCGUUGUUCGGAAUUACUGGGCGUAAAGCGCGCGCAGGCGGUCUUCCAAGUCAGUGGUGAAAGCCCGGAGCUCAACUCCGGAACUGCCAUUGAAACUGGAAGACUUGAGGAUGAGAGAGGUGAGUGGAAUUCCCAGUGUAGAGGUGAAAUUCGUAGAUAUCGGGAGGAACACCGGUGGCGAAAGCGGCUCACUGGACCACAACUGACGCUGAGGCGCGAAAGCUAGGGGAGCAAACAGG
rnacentral:rRNA from 1 species